CUCGAUGAUUCACAUUAGACAUUAGUGUUGUUGUCUCACUACUGCCAUCUGGAUUUUUUUUCUUGCUUGUUUUGAUGUUGCUGAAUUUUAUUCUGGUGUUGAUGUUGCUUGCAUUCUUUACUGAAUUUUAUUUUGGUUGUUGUUCCUGUCAUUAUUGGUUAACCGAGUAAAUCAUCAGUUGCUGCCCAUAAUGGUUUUCUACAUUACCGCCAAUGAUUACAAUUAUAGUUUCUGAUGUUAGUGAGGCUGUUUGAGCUUAAAGAAGAGGUGAAUAAUCUAAAGAAAGUGUUUUCUCAGAUAUUUAGAAAAAUGACAAAGCCAAACUGGGUAAUAGCAGCAACUGAUAUUAUAGACAUGACAAUAUGUUACAGUUAAGGAAGGGUAUCAGAAGUGUGUGGGAACAAUCAAAUCAUCUGUAUGUAGAACAACUUUCACUUCCUCAGGGGGUAACAACAUGGUCUGACUGAACAAGAACAACAAAUUUUGGUUCUGGGCCAAAAUUCACCUUCUCUGCCAAUAUAAAAAUUAGUUUUUCAAAACCCAAUACUUGACCCAUAAAAUUAGGUUUUCAAAACCAAAAAAUUGAAGGGAAGUCAGAUACAUGCAAAUAAGACCAAAAAAUACUCAACCAAAUAUAGGGUUCUACAAACAUCAAAAUUACGAUCAAACAUACACUGGUGAGAAUAAGAAGAAGCUAGUUUCAGGUGUGCCAAAGCGCAUAUGUUUCAAAAAAAAUUCGACCAUUAGAUUUUAACCCGUCGACUGACGAUACAUUAUUCAUCAACAACUAAAUUAUGUACCUCGAGUUAUACUCGUUCCCCGUAUUACGUUGUAUUGACCCCACCUGAAGUGUGUCCAAAUAAGAAGAGGAGGAAGAUACCUAAAAAAGUCAAGAGAUACAAUCGAAGAAGAGAAGAAAAAAGACACUAAGAAGUCAAUGGGUUUUAGCCUCACAACAAGAAAAGAUGAAAACUUAUAUAAUUGUAAAGUCUUUGGAACUAAGCGGUUGAAACCCACUUAAGAAAUGAAGAGUUGAAACCCAUUUAAAAGCCCA
rnacentral:lncRNA from 1 species